AUUGAACGCUGGCGGCAUGCCUUACACAUGCAAGUCGAACGGCAGCACGGGUGCUUGCACCUGGUGGCGAGUGGCGAACGGGUGAGUAAUACAUCGGAACAUGUCCUGUAGUGGGGGAUAGCCCGGCGAAAGCCGGAUUAAUACCGCAUACGAUCUACGGAUGAAAGCGGGGGCCCUUCGGGCCUCGCGCUAUAGGGUUGGCCGAUGGCUGAUUAGCUAGUUGGUGGGGUAAAGGCCUACCAAGGCGACGAUCAGUAGCUGGUCUGAGAGGACGACCAGCCACACUGGGACUGAGACACGGCCCAGACUCCUACGGGAGGCAGCAGUGGGGAAUUUUGGACAAUGGGCGAAAGCCUGAUCCAGCAAUGCCGCGUGUGUGAAGAAGGCCUUCGGGUUGUAAAGCACUUUUGUCCGGAAAGAAAUCCUUGGCUCUAAUACAGCCGGGGGAUGACGGUACCGGAAGAAUAAGCACCGGCUAACUACGUG
rnacentral:rRNA from 1 species